AGCAGCCGCGGUAAUUCCAGCUCCAAUAGCGUAUAUUAAAGUUGUUGCAGUUAAAAAGCUCGUAGUUGAAUUUCGGGAUCAGUACGCUGGUCGUGCCUUCGGUAUGAACUGGUGUCACUGGUUCCUCCCUUCUGAAGAACCGUCAUGCCAUUCAGUUGGUGUGGCGGGGAAUCAGGACUGUUACUUUGAAAAAAUUGAGUGUUUAAAGCAGGCUCGCGCUUGAAUACAUUAGCAUGGAAUAAUGAAAUAGGACGUUUGACCCUAUUUUGUUGGUUUCUAGGAUCGACGUAAUGAUUAAUAGGGAUAGUUGGGGGCAUUAGUAUUCAAUUGUCAGAGGUGAAAUUCUUGGAUUUAUUGAAGACUAACUACUGCGAAAGCAUUUGCCAAGGAUGUUUUCAUUAAUCAAGAACGAAAGUUAGGGAUCGAAGACGAUCAGAUACCGUCGUAGUC
rnacentral:rRNA from 1 species